AUUGAACGCUGGCGGCAUGCUUUACACAUGCAAGUCGAACGGGGUGGAGGGGCAACUCUCCAUUCAGUGGCGAACGGGUGAGUAAUGCAUCGGAACGUGCCCCGUAGUGGGGGAUAACGCCGCGAAAGCGGCGCUAAUACCGCAUAUGCUCUACGGAGGAAAGUGGGGGAUCCGCAAGGACCUCACGCUAUGGGAGCGGCCGAUGUCCGAUUAGCUUGUUGGUGGGGUAAUGGCCUACCAAGGCGACGAUCGGUAGCUGGUCUGAGAGGAUGAUCAGCCACACUGGGACUGAGACACGGCCCAGACUCCUACGGGAGGCAGCAGUGGGGAAUUUUGGACAAUGGGGGCAACCCUGAUCCAGCCAUGCCGCGUGCGGGAAGAAGGCCUUCGGGUUGUAAACCGCUUUUAGCCGGGAAGAAAAGGGCACGGAUAACACCCGUGUCUCUUGACGGUACCGGCGGAAUAAGCACCGGCUAACUACGUGCCAGCAGCCGCGGUAAUAC
rnacentral:rRNA from 1 species